rnacentral:sRNA from 1 species
GCAGUUCCCAGGUUCUACAGUCCCACGCACCCCGCGGGACUCAUAUUUUUCCCAGACGCGGAGGUUGGGGUCAUGGCGCCCCGAAGCCUCCUCCUGCUGCUCUCAGGGGCCCUGGCCCUGACCGAGACUUGGGCAGGUGAGUGCGGGGUCCAGAGAGAAACGGCCUCUGUGGGGAGGAGUGAGGGGCCCGCCCGGUGGGGGCGCAGGACUCAGGGAGCCGCGCCCGGAGGAGGGUCGGGCGGGUCUCAGCCCCUCCUCGCCCCCAGGCUCCCACUCCUUGAGGUAUUUCAGCACCGCUGUGUCGCGGCCCGGCCGCGGGGAGCCCCGGUACAUCGCCGUGGAGUACGUAGACGACACGCAGUUCCUGCGGUUCGACAGCGACGCCGCGAUUCCGAGGAUGGAGCCUCGGGAGCCGUGGGUGGAGCAAGAGGGGCCGCAGUAUUGGGAGAGGACCACAGGAUACGCGAAGGCCAACGCACAGACUGACCGAGUGGCCCUGAGGAACCUGCUCCGCCGCUACAACCAGAGCGAGGCCGGGUCUCACACCCUCCAGGGAAUGAAUGGCUGCGACAUGGGGCCCGACGGACGCCUCCUUCGCGGGUAUCACCAGCACGCGUACGACGGCAAGGAUUACAUCUCCCUGAACGAGGACCUGCGCUCCUGGACCGCGGCGGACACCGUGGCUCAGAUCACCCAGCGCUUCUAUGAGGCAGAGGAAUAUGCAGAGGAGUUCAGGACCUACCUGGAGGGCGAGUGCCUGGAGUUGCUCCGCAGAUACU